AGAGUUUGAUCAUGGCUCAGGAUGAACGCUAGCGGCAGGCUUAACACAUGCAAGUCGAGGGGCAUCGCGGGAGUAGCAAUACUUCUGGCGGCGACCGGCGAAAGGGUGCGUAACGCGUGAGCGACAUGCCCGUGACCGGGGUAUAACCGAUGGAAACGUCGACUAAUCCCCCAUAACAUCAGGGCAAGGCAUCUUACCUGGUUGAAAUUUACGGAGGUCACGGAUUGGCUCGCGUCUGAUUAGCUAGUUGGCGGGGUAACGGCCCACCAAGGCGACGAUCAGUAGGGGUUCUGAGAGGAAGGUCCCCCACAAUGGAACUGAGACACGGUCCACACUCCUACGGGAGGCAGCAGUGAGGAAUAUUGGUCAAUGGGCGGAAGCCUGAACCAGCCAUGCCGCGUGCAGGACGACGGCCCUAUGGGUUGUAAACUGCUUUUGCUGCGGAGCAAUAAGGGUGUCGAGCACAUCCGAUGAGAGUACGCAGCGAAUAAGCAUCGGCUAACUCCGUGCCAGCAGCCGCGGUAAUACGGAGGAUGCGAGCGUUAUCCGGAUUUAUUGGGUUUAAAGGGUGCGUAGGCUGUGCGUUAAGUCAGGGGUGAAAUGCCGUCGCUCAACGACGGAGCUGCCCUUGAUACUGGCGUGCUGGAGUACGGAUGCCGUUGGAGGAAUGAGUGGUGUAGCGGUGAAAUGCUUAGAUAUCACUCAGAACACCGAUUGCGAAGGCAUCUGACGAAUCCGUCACUGACGCUGAGGCACGAAAGCGUGGGGAUAGAACAGGAUUAGAUACCCUGGUAUUCCACGCCGUAAACGAUGAUGACUAACCGUCGGCGAUAGACAGUCGGUGGCCAAGCGAAAGCGAUAAGUCAUCCACCUGGGGAGUACGUCGGCAACGAUGAAACUCAAAGGAAUUGACGGGGGCCCGCACAAGCGGAGGAACAUGUGGUUUAAUUCAAUGAUACGCGAGGAACCUUACCCGGGCUCGAACGGUGCAGGAAGAGAUCUGGAGACAGUGACGCCCUACGGGGCCUGCAUCGAGGUGCUGCAUGGUUGUCGUCAGCUCGUGCCGUGAGGUGUCGGCUCAAGUGCCAUAACGAGCGCAACCCUUGUCGUCAGUUGCCAUCAGGUGAAGCUGGGGACUCUGACGAGACUGCCACCGCAAGGUGUGAGGAGGGGGGGGAUGACGUCAAAUCAGCACGGCCCUUACGUCCGGGGCGACACACGUGUUACAAUGGCGGCCACAGAGGGAAGCUACCUGGUGACAGGAUGCGGAUCUCGAAAAGCCGUCUCAGUUCGGACUGGAGUCUGCAACCCGACUCCACGAAGUUGGAUUCGCUAGUAAUCGCGCAUCAGCCAUGGCGCGGUGAAUACGUUCCCGGGCCUUGUACACACCGCCCGUCAAGCCAUGGAAGCCGCGGGCGCCUGAAGUCCGUGACCGAAAGGAGCGGCCUAGGGCGAAAGUGGUAACUGGGGCUAAGUCGUAACAAGGUAGCCGUACCGGAAGGUGUGGCUGGAACACCUCCUU
rnacentral:rRNA from 1 species